rnacentral:rRNA from 1 species
GUGCCAGCCGCCGCGGUAAUACGGAGGAUGCAAGCGUUAUCCGGAUUUAUUGGGUUUAAAGGGUGCGUAGGCGGAUUAAUAAGUCAGUGGUGAAAACCUUCAGCUUAACUGGAGACUUGCCAUUGAUACUGUCAGUCUUGAGUAUGGUUAAGGUAGGCGGAAUGUGUAAUGUAGCGGUGAAAUGCUUAGAUAUUACACAGAACACCGAUUGCGAAGGCAGCUUACUGAGCCAUAACUGACGCUGAUGCACGAAAGCGUGGGGAGCGAACAGGAUUAGAUACCCCCGUAGUCC